UAGGCAACGAUGAAUAUGUCCAAGCUGGAUGUGGGGAUGGAAAUGCAAAUUAACGUCUUUGAGACUUGGAACAGCAAUCUCUGUCUCCUGUCCAUGCUAUCUGGAACAUUGUCAUGGGUGACUGUGAUCUGCAUUUGGAGACUUCAUCCUUCAAUCUGGGACAGAAAGCACAUUUCCAGCAGAAAGAACCUGAGGAGUCACAUUCUGUCCCAGCUUUCUCUAACCUUUGCUUGUGUUUCUUGAUUCUUGUGGAUUGAAAAUGAUGAGCAAACCUUGAUUCUGUGCACUGCUUUGCCAUUCCAGAACAACAGCAUGGUUUUAACAAGGAGACGUAACCUUCAC
rnacentral:lncRNA from 10 species